CGUACGGGCAUCUAUAAUGCAGUCGAGCGGACAGAUGGGAGCUUGCUCCCUGAUGUUAGCGGCGGACGGGUGAGUAACACGUGGGUAACCUGCCUGUAAGACUGGGAUAACUCCGGGAAACCGGGGCUAAUACCGGAUGGUUGUCUGAACCGCAUGGUUCAGACAUAAAAGGUGGCUUCGGCUACCACUUACAGAUGGACCCGCGGCGCAUUAGCUAGUUGGUGAGGUAACGGCUCACCAAGGCGACGAUGCGUAGCCGACCUGAGAGGGUGAUCGGCCACACUGGGACUGAGACACGGCCCAGACUCCUACGGGAGGCAGCAGUAGGGAAUCUUCCGCAAUGGACGAAAGUCUGACGGAGCAACGCCGCGUGAGUGAUGAAGGUUUUCGGAUCGUAAAGCUCUGUUGUUAGGGAAGAACAAGUGCCGUUCAAAUAGGGCGGCACCUUGACGGUACCUAACCAGAAAGCCACGGCUAACUACGUGCCAGCAGCCGCGGUAAUACGUAGGUGGCAAGCGUUGUCCGGAAUUAUUGGGCGUAAAGGGCUCGCAGGCGGUUUCUUAAGUCUGAUGUGAAAGCCCCCGGCUCAACCGGGGAGGGUCAUUGGAAACUGGGGAACUUGAGUGCAGAAGAGGAGAGUGGAAUUCCACGUGUAGCGGUGAAAUGCGUAGAGAUGUGGAGGAACACCAGUGGCGAAGGCGACUCUCUGGUCUGUAACUGACGCUGAGGAGCGAAAGCGUGGGGAGCGAACAGGAUUAGAUACCCUGGUAGUCCACGCCGUAAACGAUGAGUGCUAAGUGUUAGGGGGUUUCCGCCCCUUAGUGCUGCAGCUAACGCAUUAAGCACUCCGCCUGGGGAGUACGGUCGCAAGACUGAAACUCAAAGGAAUUGACGGGGGCCCGCACAAGCGGUGGAGCAUGUGGUUUAAUUCGAAGCAACGCGAAGAACCCUUACCAGGUCUUGACAUCCUCUGACAAUCCUAGAGAUAGGACGUCCCCUUCGGGGGGCAGAGUGACAGUGGUGCAUGGGUUGUCGUCAGCUCGUGUCGUGAGAUGUUUGGGUUUAAGUCCCGCACGAAGCGCACCCUUGGAUCUUAGCUGCAGCAAUCCAUUGGCACCUUCUUAGGUGAACUUGCCGGGGUUGUAACCGC
rnacentral:rRNA from 1 species